UGUGGUCAAGUUUUUAAGGGCGCACGGUGGAUGCCUUGGCAUUAGGAGCCGAAGAAGGACGUAGGAAUCUGCGAUAAGCCUGGGGGAGUUGAUAACCGAGCGGUGAUCCCAGGAUGUCCGAAUGGGGAAACCCCGCACAACGCUGCAAGGUGAUUGUGUGACCCGUGCCUGAAUUCAUAGGGUGCGUGGGGGGAACGCGGGGAAGUGAAACAUCUCAGUACCCGCAGGAAGAGAAAACAAGAGUGAUUCCGUUAGUAGUGGCGAGCGAACGCGGAUGAGGCUAAACCGUUCCAUGUGUGAUAGCCGGCGGGCGUUGCGUGGGCGGGGUUGUGGGACUUUCCGUGCUGGUUCUGCCGGACCGGUGGGGUGUGGGUGUGCGUAUAGGUGAGCGGUCUUGAAAGGCCGGCCAGAGAGGGUGUGAGUCCCGUAACCGUAAUGUGUGGCACCGCCUUUGGAGAGGAUCCCAAGUAGCACGGGGCCCGAGAAAUCCCGUGUGAAUCUGUCAGGACCACCUGAUAAGCCUAAAUACUUCCUAAUGACCGAUAGCGGACCAGUACCGUGAGGGAAAGGUGAAAAGUACCCCGGGAGGGGAGUGAAACAGUACCUGAAACCGUGUGCUUACAAUCCGUCAGAGCAUCUGCAGCCCUUCGGGGUUGUAUGGGUGUGAUGGCGUGCCUUUUGAAGAAUGAGCCUGCGAGUUAGUGUUACGUCGCGAGGUUAACCCGUGUGGGGAAGCCGUAGCGAAAGCGAGUCUGAACAGGGCGUGUUCAGUGGCGUGAUCUAGACCCGAAGCGGAGUGAUCUACCCAUGGCCAGGUUGAAGCGACGGUAAGACGUCGUGGAGGACCGAACCCACUUCAGUUGAAAAUGGAGGGGAUGAGCUGUGGGUAGGGGUGAAAGGCCAAUCAAACUCCGUGAUAGCUGGUUCUCCCCGAAAUGCAUUUAGGUGCAGCGUUGCGUGUUUCUUGCCGGAGGUAGAGCUACUGGAUGGCCGAUGGGCCCUACAAGGUUACUGACGUCAGCCAAACUCCGAAUGCCGGUAAGUCAGAGCGCAGCAGUGAGACUGUGGGGGAUAAGCUUCAUAGUCGAGAGGGAAACAGCCCAGACCACCAACUAAGGCCCCUAAGCGUGUGCUAAGUGGGAAAGGAUGUGGAGUUGCUUAGACAACCAGGAGGUUGGCUUAGAAGCAGCCAUCCUUGAAAGAGUGCGUAAUAGCUCACUGGUCAAGUGAUUCCGCGCCGACAAUGUAGCGGGGCUCAAGUACACCGCCGAAGUUGUGGCAUUCACGCAUUACCCUAGCCUUCGUGGUUCAGGGGUGUGGAUGGGUAGGGGAGCGUCGUGUGGGCGGUGAAGUCGCGGUGUAAACCAGCGGUGGAGCCUACACGAGUGAGAAUGCAGGCAUGAGUAGCGAAAGACGGGUGAGAAACCCGUCCGCCGAAUGAUCAAGGGUUCCAGGGUCAAGCUAAUCUGCCCUGGGUAAGUCGGGACCUAAGGCGAGGCCGACAGGCGUAGUCGAUGGACAACGGGUUGAUAUUCCCGUACCGGCGAAAAACCGCCCAUGUUGAACGGGGGAUACUAACCACCGCCGGUCUUUCUUGUUGCGCCACUUGUGGUGUGAUGGUUGGGCUGGUGCUGGGACCUGAUCCCGGGAGGCAAGCGUAUUAACAGGUGUGACGCAGGAAGGUAGCCGGGCCGGGCGAUGGUAGCCCCGGUCCAAGGAUGUAGGGUCAGGGAUAGGCAAAUCCGUUCCUGUGUGUUUCGAGCACGAUCCUGAGAUCUGAUGGGACUCCCGCAUGGGGGGAUCCGGUGAUCCUAUGCUGCCUAGAAAAGCAUCGACGCGAGGUUUUAGCCGCCCGUACCCCAAACCGACACAGGUGAUCAGGUAGAGAAUACCAAGGCGAUCGAGAGAAUUAUGGUUAAGGAACUCGGCAAAAUGCCCCCGUAACUUCGGGAGAAGGGGGCCUGCCCCGUGAUACAGACUUGCUUUGUGGAGCGGGUGUGGGCCGCAGAGACCAGGGGAAGCGACUGUUUACUAAAAACACAGGUCCGUGCGAAGUCGCAAGACGAUGUAUACGGACUGACUCCUGCCCGGUGCUGGAAGGUUAAGAGGACCGGUUAGCCCCUUGCGGGCGAAGCUGGGAAUUUAAGCCCCAGUAAACGGCGGUGGUAACUAUAACCAUCCUAAGGUAGCGAAAUUCCUUGUCGGGUAAGUUCCGACCUGCACGAAUGGAGUAACGACUUCCCCGCUGUCUCAACCAUAAACUCGGCGAAAUUGCAGUACGAGUAAAGAUGCUCGUUACGCGCAGCAGGACGGAAAGACCCCGAGACCUUUACUAUAGUUUGGUAUUGGUGUUCGGAGUGGCUUGUGUAGGAUAGGUGGGAGACGUUGAAACCCGGACGCCAGUUCGGGUGGAGUCAUCGUUGAAAUACCACUCUGGUCACUUUGGACAUCUAACUUCGGCCCGUGAUCCGGGUCAGGGACAGUGCCUGAUGGGUAGUUUAACUGGGGCGGUUGCCUCCUAAAAAGUAACGGAGGCGCCCAAAGGUUCCCUCAGCCUGGUUGGCAAUCAGGUGUCGAGUGUAAGUGCACAAGGGAGCUUGACUGUGAGAGAGACAUCUCAAGCAGGGACGAAAGUCGGGACUAGUGAUCCGGCGGUACAUUGUGGAAUGGCCGUCGCUCAACGGAUAAAAGGUACCUCGGGGAUAACAGGCUGAUCUUGCCCAAGAGUCCAUAUCGACGGCAUGGUUUGGCACCUCGAUGUCGGCUCGUCGCAUCCUGGGGCUGGAGUAGGUCCCAAGGGUUGGGCUGUUCGCCCAUUAAAGCGGUACGCGAGCUGGGUUUAGAACGUCGUGAGACAGUUCGGUCCCUAUCCGCUGCGCGCGCAGGAAAUUUGAGAAGGGCUGUCCUUAGUACGAGAGGACCGGGACGGACGAACCUCUGGUGUGUCAGUUGUACUGCCAAGUGCACCGCUGAUUAGCUACGUUCGGAUGGGAUAACCGCUGAAAGCAUCUAAGCGGGAAGCUCGCUUCAAGAUGAGAUUUCCAAACACAUUAUGUGUGAGAGGCCCCCAGCCAGACCACUGGGUUGAUAGGCCGGAUGUGGAAGCGAGGACUAAAGACUCGUGAAGCUGACCGGUACUAAUAGGCCAACAACUUACACCACA
rnacentral:rRNA from 1 species